rnacentral:ncRNA from 1 species
AUAAACGCUGUGACAGGAAUGAUUGUUUGUUUCGUUCUUCAGAGAAGAAGCGGUCGGUGAGAGCUUCUGUUCGUAAAACAAGUGCUACCCUUGAGCUUUCGGCUAAAUCCGAACGUAUUUUCUGCGUUAAAGGAAACUAAAGGAAAGUAAUUUAUUUACUUUUGAAAUUGGGUGGUACCACGAGGCCUUCGUCCCAUUG